GGCGCCAUGAACAAGCCUUUUAACGAAAACUCAAGAUCUUCACAACUGAACAUCGCACAGGCCUUUAGAUUAGACUGACCACAAAAAAAGACAUUGAUGUCAUAAAAUUUCUAGGAGUAGUUCGUCGCAGCGUAAAAUAUGUCACUUCCUGUUGCCAAUAGGUGGCGCUAUGACUAUAACUGAAUAUGGGCAUGUCAAUCUGUUCAGGUUCGGAGUCUCAUCAAACAUGUGAAGUUUGGGGCAGAUUGGACAUUGUAUGUGUGAGUUAUAGCAACUUCAUUUUUCAUGGCGAAUCAUCGAAAUUCGCCAGGCCGCCACGGACACGCCCUUCAACGAAAACUCAAGAUCUUCGCAAUUUAACAUCGCAAAGGCCUUUAGAUUAGGCAUACCACAUUUGGUGUUGAUUUGAAGAACUCUCUAGGAGGAGUUCGUUAAAAUACAACACAUGGAAAUGACCAAAAUUACACAAAAUAUGCUCAUAAUAUUAAAAAUAACCGACUUCCUGUUGGGUUUAGAAUUUCGCUCCAAGAGUCUUUUUUGUAGCUAUUGGUGUGUUACAUAUGUGUGCCAAUUUUCGUGCAUGUACGUGAAACAUAGCUGGAAGGCUGUUGAUUUUCUUGGUAUAGGUGGCGCUGUCGAGCCAUUUUGCCACACCCUCUUCUGAAUCCUAUAUCAGACGAAAAUUUUCACCAGGUUUGACGCGUGUGCAAAGUUUCAUGACUUUUUGAGCAUGUUAAAGCCCUCAAAAAUGCGAUUCAUUCGGGAGAAGAAGAAGAAGAAGAAUAAUAAUAAUUAAAGCUGCAAGCAGCGAUGAACGGGCCCUCGCACCCGGGCUCACCGGCAGCGAGUGGCUUUAGUUAAUAGGUGAACGGUGAGAAAUAUGCGUUUAAACUCAUAAAUAUAAGUAGAAUAUAUCAAUGUUUAUUCCAUAUAUGUGCCAAUCUUCCUGUUGCCAGCAGGUGGCGCUAUCAUUAUAGUGGAAUAUUGGCCUUCAGAUGUGUUCAGGGCAGGACUUUUGUCGAACAUGUGAGGUUUGGAGAGGAUUGGACAUUUUAUGCCUGAGUUACAACAACAUCCUAUUUCAUGGCGAAACAUCGAAAUUUGUCAGGCCGCCAUGGACACGCCCUUUAACGAAACCUCAAGAUCUUCGCAAUUUUAGAUCGCAAAAGGCUUUAGAUUACACUGACCAAGUUUGGUGUUGAUCUGAAUAAAUCUCUAGGAGGAGUUCGUUAAAGUCCAACCCCUGAAAAUGGCCAAAACAACACUAAUUUUGCAGAGAAAAUUCGAAAUAACUGACUUCCUGUUGGGAUUCGGAUUUUGUACCAAGAGACUUUUUUGUAGAUAUUGGUGUGUUACAUGUGUGUACCGAUUUUUGUACAUGUACGUGAAACAUAGCUCGAGGCGCACUCCGUUUAAAGUGUAUACGCACUCCGUUGAAAGUGUAUAGGUGGCGCUAUCGAGCCAUUUUGCCACAUUCGAUGGAAUAUUGGCCUUCAGAUCUGUUUAGGCCAGGACCCUUAUCACACAAGUGAAGUUUGGGCAAGAUCGGACAUUUUAUGCCUGAGUUAUAACAUCUUUUAUUCCCAUGGCAAGACAUCGAACUUCAUCACAGCGCCAUGGACACACCUUUUAACAAAAACUCAAGAUCUUCACAACUAAACAUCACACAGGUCUUUAGAUUAGACUGACCACAAAAAAGACAUU